UGUUUUAUGGAUUAAUUAUAAUGAAUCUCAAAGUCUACAAUCCAUAACAAAUUAGCCUCAAAGUUUCCCGACAUUGUUUGAGUGAGAGUAUUGUUCUGAUACGAGAGACUAACGGUACACGUACUGUACAACUCAUCGUAUGACACAGGAGGAAGUGAAGGUAGCAGUUGCAAGAUAUAGUAAUUUAGCCAGCUAAUCUCAGAAACAUUUUUUUAUCCGAGAAGAUAUGUCAGCAAGCAUGCAAAUUAAGAUUGGAAUCAUUGGAGGCUCUGGCCUUGAUGACCCAGACAUAUUGGAGGGAAGGACCGAGAAAUAUGUAGACACACCUUAUGGAAAGCCUUCAGAUGCCCUUAUAAUGGGGAAGAUCCAAAAUGUUGAAUGUGUGCUCCUUGCAAGGCAUGGGAGACAGCACACCAUCAUGCCAACCGACGUCAACUACCAGGCUAACAUCUGGGCGUUGCGAGAGGAGGGCUGCACACAUCUCCUGGUCACCACGGCCUGUGGUUCCCUCCGGGAAGAGAUCCAACCAGGAGACAUCGUUAUCAUCGACCAGUUCAUAGACAGGACGACAAAGAGGGCCCAGACGCUGUACGACGGGCGGCCCACCAGUCCUCCAGGCGUGUCUCACAUCCCCAUGGCUGAGCCCUUCUGCACCCGGACCAGGGAGGUGCUGCUGGAGGUGGCGCGCGGCCUGGGGGUGAAGUGCCACCCGCAGGGUACGGUGCUCACCAUCGAGGGCCCUCGCUUCUCCUCGCGCGCCGAGAGCCUGAUGUUCCGCCAGUGGGGGGCCGACGUUAUUAACAUGACCAGCGUGCCCGAGGUGGUCCUCGCCAAGGAGGCGGGCCUUUGCUACGCCAGCAUCGCCAUGGCCACCGACUACGACUGCUGGAAAGAGCAUGAGGAGGCUUUCCUGCAGCUGACCUCCUGGCUACCCUUCCCCCUCCUGUUGCACACCCUCACGCCACAUCCUUCCGCCCUGUCUACGCCUUCCCUCCCUCGCUGUGAGCCUGCCAGCCUCCGGUGUGAGUCCUGCCAGCUGAGGUUGAGUCACCGGUAUACAGUUGUCCACAGGGCCUGAGAGAUCACAACAAAACAGACCCUCAGUUCAGGGGUGUGUUCAUUAGGGAACACACAAAAAAUGUUUUUGCUGGUCACAUGUUGUGGUCACUGUGCUACAUUUCACAAAGUAACCUUGUCUCAUGCAUCAACAUGUCAUUAAAAGGUUGUGUAAGUGAAUGUCCCUUGAGUACCAUGGUAACAUACAAUCUUGGGUGGCACACCCCAACUGUAUUGUGUUAUAAACGGCAUGCUGUCUGGAGCUGCAUGGCAUUUAGCCUAGUCGACAGUGAGUUUAGGAACAAUUUCUCUGAAUUCAUCAUAGUAAUUAUCUCCAAUGUAGCCAAUAAUACAUGUAUGAUUAGAUCAAAUUCUUUACAUGUUUUGCUCCAAUCUAAAUGCUGUUAAUAGUGAAAAGGAUUGCCUUAACCUGCAUUGCCUUUCCAUAGGAUAAGAUCAACAUGGUUAUCAUGGCUUUAUAGCCAUAUAUAUUAUAAUGGGUUUCUAUCAUUACUUACUGUACUGUAUGUAGCAAUAUGUAUCACAUCUUGAUGCAGCCCAUGCUUGGUCAAAAGUAGUGCACUAAAUAGGUGACCAGGUGCUAUUUGGGACACAAUCUUGAUGUUGUUGGAGCUGCUGUUGUCCAAAGUCUUGGACACAUCACUCUGUCUGACCGAGAAAUGGAUACCACUCCCUAAUGUGUUUCAGUUAUUGUCAUGUGUUGUCAUUACCACUGAUGACUAGGCGGUAAUGUAAUGGAGUGAAGGACCACUGAUGACUAGGCGAUAAUGUAAUGGAGUGAAGGACCACUGAUGACUAGGCGGUAAUGUAAUGGAGUGAAGGACCACUGAUGACUAGGCGGUAAUGUAAUGGAGUGAAGGACACAGGUAGGUAAUUACACAACAAGCAAGGGUUUAACAGACCAUUAGAUUAUCUUUAGUGAUUUUCAUACUCUCUUUUACUUGAGCUGUUAGCUAUACCAUGCUGUAAGGAGUACAGGUGUUUUUCACACGGUCUUAUUUUAUAGUCUUAUCUAAGCAAACAGUCCUAUAGAAAUCACUCCACGGGCUAGCUGCCAAUGUUUACAGAGGAUGAGUCUACGUUUCAGAGCACCCCGUAUUACACCCUGCAAGGUGUAAAUCCUAAAACGCAUGAAGGCGCAAAACACAUGGGAAACGUAGUAUGAAAUAAAUGCCUGCUAUUGAACCAUGCUCAUUGCGCACUCAAACUGAACCUGUAGACUACAGUACAGUGUAGGAUGUCUGUGUGAACUGGGCAAAAGAGGAGCUUUAAUUCACAGAUGUGUUUAUUUUGUACCUCACUAUUUCAACUGAGGCUUGGGUUGAACAAAAAUAUAUUUUAUUUGCGCUCAAGUUCGAAUGCGGUUGCCUGGAGACAAUCACGAGACGGGUCUGCGUCGACAACGUCCUGAAGACUAUGAAGGAGAAUGCCAACAAGGCCAGCAGUAUCCUGCUCACUGCUAUCCCCCUGAUCUGCACCCAGGAGGACUGGACCCACACCAUAAAAGCUCUGAAG